rnacentral:rRNA from 1 species
AUUGAACGCUAGCGGCACGCCUAACACAUGCAAGUCGAACGGCAGCGUGUCCUACUUUCGGGUGGGAUGACGGCGAGAGGCGGACGGGUGAGUAAUACGUAGGAAUCUGCCUUGAAGUGGGGGACAACCACGCGAAAGCGUGGCUAAUACCGCAUAAUAUCUAAGGAUCAAAGCUGGGGACCGUAAAGCCUGGCACUUUGAGAUGAGCCUACGUUGGAUUAGCUUGUUGGUGAGGUAAAGGCUCACCCAGGUAACGAUCCAUAGCUGGUCUGGGCGGACGACCAGCCACACUGGAACUGAGACACGGCCCAGACUCCUACGGGAGGCAGCAGUGGGGAAUCUUGGACAAUGGGGGCAACCCUGAUCCAGCGAUGCCGCGUGUGUGAAGAAGGCCUUCGGGUUGUAAAGCACUUUUAGUUGGGAAGAAAGAUUUUUAUUAAAUAGAUUAAAACUUUGACAUUUCUAACAGAAACAGCACCGGCUAACUCUGAGCCAGCCGCCGCCGUAA